UCCCUGGUAAUAUAUCGGUUAGUACACGCGCCUGUCAUAUUGAAGUGUUUAAUCGCGCGAAAGCUGGGUUCGACUCCCAGCCAGGGAG